rnacentral:rRNA from 1 species
UAAGGAAUAUUGGUCAAUGGACGCAAGUCUGAACCAGCCAUGCCGCGUGAAGGAUUAAGGUCCUCUGGAUUGUAAACUUCUUUUAUCUGGGACGAAAAAAGGCGAUUCUUCGUCACUUGACGGUACCAGAUGAAUAAGCACCGGCUAACUCCGUGCCAGCAGCCGCGGUAAUACGGAGGGUGCAAGCGUUAUCCGGAUUCACUGGGUUUAAAGGGUGCGUAGGCGGGCAGGUAAGUCAGUGGUGAAAUCCUAGAGCUUAACUCUAGAACUGCCAUUGAUACUAUCUGUCUUGAAUAUUGUGGAGGUAAGCGGAAUAUGUCAUGUAGCGGUGAAAUGCUUAGAUAUGACAUAGAACACCUAUUGCGAAGGCAGCUUACUACGCAUAUAUUGACGCUGAGGCACGAAAGCGUGGGGAUCAAACAGGAUUAGAUACCCUGGUAGUCCACGCCCUAAACGAUGAUUACUCGACAUUUGUGAUACACUAUAAGUGUCUGAGCGAAAGCAUUAANUAAUCCACCUGGGAAGUACGACCGCAAGGUUG